rnacentral:rRNA from 1 species
GACAGAGGGUGCAAGCGUUGCUCGGAAUUACUGGGCGUAAAGGGCGUGUAGGCGGGUAGGUAAGUCGGGCGUGAAAUCCCUGGGCUCAACCCAGGAACUGCACUCGAAACUACUUUGCUUGAGUGCCGGAGAGGAAAGCGGAAUUCCUGGUGUAGAGGUGAAAUUCGUAGAUAUCAGGAGGAACACCGGUGGCGAAGGCGGCUUUCUGGACGGUAACUGACGCUGAGACGCGAAAGCGUGGGGAGCAAACAGG